rnacentral:tRNA from 1 species
GCUGAGAUGCCCGAGUCCGGUCAAAGGGGCUUGUCUGUAGAACAAGUGGCGCAAGCCUACGGGGGUUCAAAUCCCUCUCUCAGCACUA